rnacentral:rRNA from 1 species
UACAGAGGUCCCGAGCGUUGUUCGGAUUCAUUGGGCGUAAAGGGUGCGUAGGCGGCGAGCUAAGUUUGGUGUGAAAUCCUGGGGCUUAACCUCAGAAUUGCACUGAAUACUGGUUUGCUAGAGGACUGGAGAGGAGAUGGAAUUCACGGUGUAGCAGUGAAAAUGCGUAGAUAUCGUGAGGAAGACCAGUGGCGAAAGCGAAUCUCUGGACAGAUCCUGACGCCGAUGCACGAAGGCUAGGGGAGCAAACGGG